GAUGAACGCUGGCGGCGUGCCUAAUACAUGCAAGUCGAGCGGACGGACGCGGCGUUUGCUUCGCUGAUGUUAGGGGCGGGCGGGUGAGUCACACGUGUAUACCUUACCUAUCAGUCUGAGAUCCGUUCGGGAACGCGGAUCUAACAUCGGAUGAUAUUUUGAACCGCGGGGUUCUUCAGAGAUCGCCGGCCUUGCUGUCACUAAUUGGUGGUUCCGGGCUGGUUUAGCUAGUUGGUACGGUCACGGCUUACCAAGGCUAGGAUGCGUAGACGAGCUGAGAGGCUGAUCGGCCACACUGGAACGGAGACACGGUCCAGACUCCUACGGGAGGCAGCAGUAGGGAAUCUUCGGCAAUGGGCGAAAGCCUGACACAGCAACGCCGCGUGUGUGAUGAAGGUCUUCGGAUCGUAAAGCACUCUUAUUUGGGAGGAACAGAUGUGAGCUUAGACGUGGAGAUCUUGACGGUACCAAAUCAAAAAGCACCGGCUAACUACGUG
rnacentral:rRNA from 1 species